rnacentral:lncRNA from 1 species
GUAGCUUCCCUUCCUGCAGAUGACAUUUGUCUUCCUCUUGGCAUGCAGAAGUCCUGAGUAUGGGAUGCCCUCAGUGACCUUUGGCAGUGUCCACCCCUCUGAUGUGUUGGAUAUGCCUGUGGAUCCCAACGAACCCACAUAUUGCCUUUGUCACCAGGUCUCCUAUGGAGAGAUGAUUGGCUGUGACAACCCAGACGUGAGAACCGUUUUGCCCUGGGCUCUGGGGGAGGGGCUCUGAGGGGUGAGGACGUGAAUAGGAGGUAAUUGGCUUGAAGAGAAGAAUGCAGAAUUGGGGGGGGGGUGACUCGUUUGCUUGGAACUUGAGAAAGUUUCUAAGCUGGAGUAAAGGGUGCCUCUCGAGUCCAUAGUUGGCCCUUCCCUUUACCUGGCUCAGGUCCCUCCCUGAUGACUGUGUUCCUUCCUUUUCCAGUGUUCCAUUGAGUGGUUCCACUUUGCCUGUGUGGGGCUGACAACCAAGCCUCGAGGGAAAUGGUUUUGCCCACGCUGCUCCCAAGAACGGAAGAAGAAAUAGGUUUCCUUGGAUUCCAUCAGAGACUUCUUCUGAAUCCCCCUGACCUGGGCUAGUGGACAGAGAGGGGUGCCUGUGCUGGGGAUGGGGGUCCAGGGAGAUGGGGACAGUGCAGUACCGUCAUCCCUUCUCCCUUCUCCCCAUUCGGUGCUGAGGCUGCAUCCAAACCCCAGUAGAGAAGGUGCCACAGCCACUGACGGGAUGUGCUCUCCUUCCCCGCCUCGCCCUCAGAGGAAGUAGUCCCACUCACUGUCCUUUUGCCUCCGUGGGGAGGUUGGUGCUGUGUUUCAGAGGGAGGGUCCUCUUCAUUCCCCUUGCUUUGACUUAGAAGUGGGCAGUGGAGUGGGCACUCUCCCAGUCCCCUCAAUCCUCCUUCCCCCAUUGGGAACUAGGUAGGACAGACUGCCUUCUCUGUGCUCUUCCUUUUCUCCAUGGGGAGGGUCUUCUAGGUCAUUUGGGCUGUGGCCUAGUUGAGUGGUUACCCCAACCUCUAUGGCCCGGGGAAUUCUG